GGGGAGGAGCUGUGGCUCAAUGAGACAGUUUCUCCUUGGCAUGCAGAGGGUCCCAGGUUCGAUCCCCAGCCUCUCCA
rnacentral:tRNA from 1 species